rnacentral:misc_RNA from 1 species
GAUGAAGAACGUAGCGAAAUGCGAUAAGUAAUGCGAAUUGCAGAAUUUCCGUGAGUCAUCGAAUCUUUGAACGCACAUUGCGCCCACUGGUAUUCCGGUGGGCAUGCCUGUUCGAGCGUCAUUAUCCUCCCUCAAACCUCGGGUUUGGUGUUGGACCCAAGUUGUGUGAACAACUGGUCUUAAAGACAAUGACGGCGUCCGUGGGACCCUCGGUGCAACGAGCUUUUAGGAGCACACGUCGAGUUUCAAGGACCUUCCGGGCCGGUCUCCUUUACCAUUUUACAAGGUUGACCUCGGAUCAGGUAGGAAUACCCGCUGAACUUAAGCAUAUCAAUAAGCGGAGGA